AACUUCAGUCAGAAUUCUAGAUUUCUGAUUCCUAGGGCUAAUUCUAGUUCUACCACCAUAUGCUUCCUUUAAAUAAAAAAAAAAAAAUUCCUCCAAUUAAUUAAGACACAAAACAGUAUUUUUCAUAAGAAAAAUGAUCAGAUCAGUUCCUUCCAACAAGACUCAGUGCACAUGGAGAAUGGCACACACCCAACAGUAGAUACUAGCUAUUAUUAACUGAAGUGACACAAUGCCUUGCGUGAAAUACACAAGAAAAACAAUGAAAUAGGUCAGGUUUUAAAGUAAUGGGUAAGAGACUCUCUAAGAAAUAGACCAGGUUGGUUUUGAUGACAGAAAGAACUUGUGAUACUUUGUUAGCAAACUGUUCCUUUCGUACUUUUUUUUUAGGGGGGUGGUUAGGAGAGUUUUAUGUUCUUUUCUGCACAUUAUCUUCUUUUUGAAGAGAUUACUGUACAGCUGAUGGAAUCUUAGAGCAUGUAAGUAUUCUAGCAAGGAUAGAGCUUAGUGUUCAAAUUGCUGCUGGUCCACUGUGUGUAUGAGUUAUAGCACCCGCCUGGGCCUGGGGUUCGGACCUCUUCACACUCACUAACAUCAUGGUUGAGAGGGGCGUCUCUGACAUUUUGCUGUUUGACUCCUCCCUUGUCUGCCAGCAUGGCUCUAAGCAGGCUACUCAACUCAUUUCAAGCACAGUUACCCAACCAUAUUUGGGAAUGAUCAGGUUGAAAGAAUAGGGGAUGUGCUGAGAAUAAAGGAGACACUUCUUAGAAAAAUCCUGGAACGAGGAACUGGUCUAUACAUAUUAGCUAUUAGUGCUGAUCACUGGUUUUAGGUAAAGAUUGAGGCAACACUAAGGAAAAAAAUAGUGAUUAAAGAGUUGGCUCCUUCUGCCGUUGUGUAUGGGAAGAGAACAGGGUAGUGCUGCUAGAAAUGCUGUCUGGAUUGCUCAGUGGAUACUUUCUGGUUCUCAGGCAUCCACAGUACACAUGGGAAGCUGACUUCAUGUAUGUGGCAGUUUGUGCAGUCUUCAGUAGAAGCCAGGUCACCGAGGCAAGUGCAAGUGUGAAGUACAGCAGAGUGGCUUCCCUCACUACUGCAGGAGCACGUGGACCGUGGGCAGCACACGAUGGUGAUAUAGAUGACUUGCAGAGGGUAUUCACUGCAGCCAUGGCUGUAGUAAAUCAGCCUCCAUCCUGAAGAGAUCCAACUCCGUGAGAGAUCCAAAGGCGGGGCAGGUCUCAGGGAUAGUACUUCCGGCUUCAGGUUGCUUUCCCUGUCUUCCCACAUAGCAUCAUCUUGAGGCUUGGAACAGAAGGGUGCAGCUUUCAGUGGACAUUGCGAAAAGGUAACCAUGUUGCAGAUUGGUGAGGUCCUUCAUACCUUUAAUGCCAUGGAAGUAAAAACUCAGAACCAUGGAUUGCUGUGAGAUGUACCCACCCUGAGAGCUUGCAGCUAUCAUGGGACAGGGCAUGGAUGGCCUCUGGAGAAGUAAUGGAGACUUGAGCCCCAUUUAUUUUGCUUUAUCUUUGUCUACAGGGCUAGGUGACCCUAACUGACAUCUGAGGUACAAGACAAAAUCCACACUUCAGCCUUCUUUAGGGAAUUAAACACACUCCUUUUGUUACACUGGAAAUAUUAGUCGUAAAGUUUUUUGUCUCAAGAUCAGAUGUAUGUGAUAGUCUGUAGCAGUUAAGAUGCAGAGAGUUUACGGGAUAUGUAGUGCAGCCGGGGUCAAGGAGGGGCCCUACGUUUAGGUGAAGAUAAUGACCUAGAGCAAGUUGUUUAGAACAUGAUUUUCUCCAGAUUUCCAGGGUCAGGGACCUGCUUGAGCAGGAUGGGAAAUUCUACAGAGCUUGUGUAAGAGCAGAUUUUCGUCAUGUACUAAUAGUUUCAGGAAGUGAAAUUCGUAGCAGUUGGGAAGACAGGUGGAGGAAGGUGACUGAUCUAUGUUCAAUAACUUACCAUUUCAGACUUAGCAAAGUGUGAAGGAAGCAUGCUGGAAUCUCAGAAAUGCAGAUGGACAGAACUGGAAGCGAGCGUAAGUUGCACCCGUUCUUUAAAAGGACAGGACAAGAGUUGGAAGGAGGAUGACUAGCCAGUGACCAUGAGAAACUGCAAAGGCAUUGUUAGGAAAGCUGAGAUUCAGAAAGGCAUGGGACUACUCUACAUAAAGUUUACACAGCAGGCCAAUAGCAGAAAGUGACAGUAGCCUGAUACAAAACAUUUAGUUAAUCCAGACACACACCCCAGCGCACUGCUUUGCCUGAAAGAAAAACAAUGGGGUUGGGUUAGUCAAAAUGCCUGGAGCAAAGAGUGUCAUGCAGAUCUGAUGACCAAAAGAAUGUACAUCCACAUGGUUCAGAUAUUUCUCCUGUCCUUUCUAUCUAGGUAAUUAAGUUUGAAAUUGAGAAGGGUAGGAACAUGUUGGAAAGAGAGUUCUGAAAAAAAUGGGGAAGCUCUGUUUUGGGUAAGUGGUUUUAAGGCUUUAGACCUGUAGGAACCAUGUCCCAUGAUACUGGGAUUUCUUAAAGAAGUUAUAAUAAAAUACACUUGGCAAUCUAGAAGUCA
rnacentral:lncRNA from 1 species